UGGGGAAUCUUGCGCAAUGGGCGAAAGCCUGACGCAGCGACGCCGCGUGGGGGACGAAGGCCCUCGGGUUGUAAACCCCUUUCGGCAGGGACGAAGCGAUCGUGACGGUACCUGCAGAAGAAGCCCCGGCUAACUACGUGCCAGCAGCCGCGGUAAGACGUAGGGGGCGAGCGUUGUCCGGAUUCAUUGGGCGUAAAGCGCGCGUAGGCGGCUCGGUAAGUCGGUCGUGAAAUCCCGGGGCUCAACCCC
rnacentral:rRNA from 1 species